GUGCCAGCCGCCGCGGUAAUACCGGCAGCUCGAGUGAUGUCCAAUAUUAUUGGGCCUAAAGCGUCCGUAGCUGGCCGCGCAAGUCCGUCGGGAAAUCCACCUGCCCAACGGGUGGCCGUCCGGUGGAAACUGCACGGCUUGGGACCGGAAGGCGCGACGGGUGCGUCCAGGGUAGGAGUGAAAUCCCGUAAUCCUGGACGGACCGCCGAUGGCGAAGGCACGUCGCGAAGACGGAUCCGACAGUGAGGGACGAAAGCUAGGGUCUCGAACCGGAUUAGAUACCCCUGUAGUCC
rnacentral:rRNA from 1 species